UACGUAGGUGGCAAGCGUUGUCCGGAAUUAUUGGGCGUAAAGCGCGCGCAGGUGGUUUCUUAAGUCUGAUGUGAAAGCCCACGGCUCAACCGUGGAGGGUCAUUGGAAACUGGGGAACUUGAGUGCAGGAGAGAAGAGUGGAAUUCCACGUGUAGCGGUGAAAUGCGUAGAGAUGUGGAGGAACACCAGUGGCGAAGGCGGUUCUCUGGGCCUUACCUGACGCUGAGGAGCGAAAGCGUGGGGAGCGAACAGG
rnacentral:rRNA from 1 species